AGCAGCCACACGCACAGCAGCACGAGCAGGCACGCGCGCAUGUCGCCUCAUUAAAGCGCGGGAAAAUUCACCAACGGUCGCUAAAGUGGUCAGGUAGUUGACAGCAGCGUAUUCCAGCACAGAGAGGAAGACGAAUACGAAGCUGACCCACAGAGACUCUCGCAGGGACAGCACGGCGAUCGAUCCAGAAGGACACCCAGGACAGCAUGACCAUCAGAGUAGCAGGAAAGUAGGUCUGCAGCAGGAAAAAGAAGAUGUGACGGCGCAGCGUGAAGUUGAUGUAUAGACGGUUGUACCAACCUGCAGCAGGAGGGAAAAACCAUAUAUGUUAAAAAGCAUCAAAAGUAGAUUUGUGACUAAUAAUUGAAUCAAAUUAACCCAGUGUUACACUGCCACCACAUCCAGUGAGGCUGGCCAUCAUUACAGUCAAUGUUUUCUCUUUUUUUAAAAGUAAAAUAUUUCACAUGCUACUUUUGGUUGCACUUAUACUUUUGUUUCAGUAAUUCCUUUGUUUUGUAGUUAUUAAGCAGUUACAGUUAAAUUCGACACAUAUAAUGGGCAUGUACUGUAUAUCAUAGCAGUCUCAGGAUUUAAAUUUGUAGAAUGGCCUCCUAAUUCUCUAUUAAUGAUUAAGAUUAACUUUAGAUGGACUUCUUUGUGGCCAUACAGAAAUAUGAUUAUAGAUUUUCACAUCAGGAAUGUCUACUAAUAUUUCUAAGGCAUAAAUACUCAAUCCAUGGGCACUCAGGUGGCACAGCGGUCUAACAUGCUAACACAUCACUGCAGAUAUUUGUUAAUAUGACCAGUGUGUAUUGUUUGAGUGAAGCGCAGCCAGGAAAACCUGCAAUCAAUAGAUUCUGUCAAUAAUCUAAAUGACAACACAACAUUCUGCUAGAGGUAAUAACAAAUGUUUCUGUGUCCAAAAUCUUUUAAGAUCAAACUUGCAGGCACUGAAUUCUGACCAAAUUCAAACCUUCACACCCACUCUGCCUUUCUGAUGAAUGAAUAAAGUUUCCAAAAGCUAAACUUCUCCACUGGCCUUCAACCUACCGAGCAUGAUGUGAUGAUGUGCAACAUACUGGACUGUUGCACCUAUGAAUAAUAAAUAAAAAGUUGUCUGCAAGGUCAUGUAUUUCAUGCCUCUGCCAUUUUCUGAAAUGAAAUGCUCAUUCAGCUGGAUGCAUAUACACUAACAGCAUUGUUAUUAUGAUCCUCUACUUUUGUACUGCAUUAUAUGAUAUGGUAAAUAUUAGACUGCAUCUUUGCCAAAA